GACGAACGCUGGCGGCGUGCCUAAUACAUGCAAGUAGAACGCAGUUGCGAACGGGUGAGUAACGCGUAGGUAACUGCCUAAAAGCGGGGGAUAACUUUUGGAAACGAUAGCUAAUACCGCAUAAUGUGAGAUGGACCUGCGUUGUAUUAGCUAGUUGGUGAGGUAAAGGCUCACCAAGGCGACGAUACAUAGCCGACCUGAGAGGGUGAUCGGCCACACUGGGACUGAGACACGGCCUAAACUCCUACGGGAGGCAGCAGUGGGGAAUAUUGGACAAUGGGCGAAAGCCUGAUGCAGCCACGCCGCGUGUGUGAAGAAGGUCUUCGGAUUGUAAAGCACUGUAAGUUGGGAGGCGGUACCAACAGAAUAAGCACCGGCUAACUUCGUGCCAGCCGCCGCGGUAAUAC
rnacentral:rRNA from 1 species